rnacentral:rRNA from 1 species
GACGAACGCUUGCGGCGUGCUUAACACAUGCAAGUCGAACGGAAAGGCCCUGCUUUUGUGGGGUGCUCGAGUGGCGAACGGGUGAGUAACACGUGAGUAACCUGCCCUUGACUUUGGGAUAACCUCAGGAAACUGGGGCUAAUACCGGAUAGGAGCUCCUGCUGCAUGGUGGGGGUUGGAAAGUUUCGGCGGUUGGGGAUGGACUCGCGGCUUAUCAGCUUGUUGGUGGGGUAGUGGCUUACCAAGGCUUUGACGGGUAGCCGGCCUGAGAGGGUGACCGGCCACAUUGGGACUGAGAUACGGCCCAGACUCCUACGGGAGGCAGCAGUGGGGAAUAUUGCACAAUGGGCGGAAGCCUGAUGCAGCAACGCCGCGUGCGGGAUGACGGCCUUCGGGUUGUAAACCGCUUUCGCCUGUGACGAAGCGUGAGUGACGGUAAUGGGUAAAGAAGCACCGGCUAACUACGUGCCAGCAGCCGCGGUGAUACGUAGGGUGCGAGCGUUGUCCGGAUUUAUUGGGCGUAAAGGGCUCGUAGGUGGUUGAUCGCGUCGGAAGUGUAAUCUUGGGGCUUAACCCUGAGCGUGCUUUCGAUACGGGUUGACUUGAGGAAGGUAGGGGAGAAUGGAAUUCCUGGUGGAGCGGUGGAAUGCGCAGAUAUCAGGAGGAACACCAGUGGCGAAGGCGGUUCUCUGGGCCUUUCCUGACGCUGAGGAGCGAAAGCGUGGGGAGCGAACAGGCUUAGAUACCCUGGUAGUCCACGCUGUAAACGGUGGGUACUAGGUGCGGGGUCCAUUCCACGGGUUCCGUGCCGUAGCUAACGCUUUAAGUACCCCGCCUGGGGAGUACGGCCGCAAGGCUAAAACUCAAAGGAAUUGACGGGGCCCCGCACAAGCGGCGGAGCAUGCGGAUUAAUUCGAUGCAACGCGUAGAACCUUACCUGGGUUUGACAUGGAUCGGGAGUGCUCAGAGAUGGGUGUGCCUCUUUUGGGGUCGGUUCACAGGUGGUGCAUGCCUGUCGUCAGCUCGUGUCGUGAGAUGUUGGGUUAAGUCCCGCAACGAGCGCAACCCUUGUUCACUGUUGCCAGCACGUUAUGGUGGGGACUCAGUGGAGACCGCCGGGGUCAACUCGGAGGAAGGUGGGGAUGACGUCAAGUCAUCAUGCCCCUUAUGUCCAGGGCUUCACGCAUGCUACAAUGGCUGGUACAGAGAGUGGCGAGCCUGUGAGGGUGAGCGAAUCUCGGAAAGCCGGUCUCAGUUCGGAUUGGGGUCUGCAACUCGACCUCAUGAAGUCGGAGUCGCUAGUAAUCGCAGAUCAGCAACGCUGCGGUGAAUACGUUCCCGGGGCC